rnacentral:lncRNA from 1 species
CUUGGUUUUUCCACACGCUUCUUGCGACCCUGUUGACUAUUUUGAAUGAAACGCUUGAUUGUUCGAUGAUCACGCUUCAGAAGCUUUGCAAUUUUAAGAGUGCUGCAUCCCUGUGCAAGAUAUCUCACUAUUUUUGACUUUUCUGAGCCUGUCAAGUCCUUCUUUUGACCCAUUUUGCCAAGGGAAAGGAAGUUGCCUAAUAAUUAUGCACACCUGAUAUAGGGUGUUGAUGUCAUUAGACCACACCCCU